GCUGCCUAUGUUGGCUGGCAGAUCUCCUGAAUUCUCAAACCCCUGCUGCAACAAGGUCUUAGUGAUGCUGAGCGAAUUUGUCAUUGUGAAAGCUCUUAACGCCCUUACCUGUAUGUGUCAAUUAGGGCUGCUGCAAAAAAACCCAUGUCUACAAGUUUGCCCAGUGAUAUUGCCCCCUUUCUGUGUCAUCCCAACCUAUAGAUACGCUAUGGUGCUGUGGGAUUUAUCACCGUGGUAGCUCACCAACUAAGCACAGCUGAUGUCUACUGCAAACUGAUGCCUUACCUUGAUCCAUAUAUUACUCAACCAAUAAUACAGAUUGAAAGAAAACUUGUUCUACUCAGUGUUUUAAAAGAGCCAGUAAGUCAUUCUCUAUUUGAUUAU